GAGUUUGAUCAUGGCUCAGAUUGAACGCUGGCGGCAGGCCUAACACAUGCAAGUCGAACGGUAACAGGAAACAGCUUGCUGUUUCGCUGACGAGUGGCGGACGGGUGAGUAAUGUCUGGGAAACUGCCUGAUGGAGGGGGAUAACUACUGGAAACGGUAGCUAAUACCGCAUAACGUCGCAAGACCAAAGAGGGGGACCUUCGGGCCUCUUGCCAUCAGAUGUGCCCAGAUGGGAUUAGCUAGUAGGUGGGGUAACGGCUCACCUAGGCGACGAUCCCUAGCUGGUCUGAGAGGAUGACCAGCCACACUGGAACUGAGACACGGUCCAGACUCCUACGGGAGGCAGCAGUGGGGAAUAUUGCACAAUGGGCGCAAGCCUGAUGCAGCCAUGCCGCGUGUAUGAAGAAGGCCUUCGGGUUGUAAAGUACUUUCAGCGGGGAGGAAGGGAGUAAAGUUAAUACCUUUGCUCAUUGACGUUACCCGCAGAAGAAGCACCGGCUAACUCCGUGCCAGCAGCCGCGGUAAUACGGAGGGUGCAAGCGUUAAUCGGAAUUACUGGGCGUAAAGCGCACGCAGGCGGUUUGUUAAGUCAGAUGUGAAAUCCCCGGGCUCAACCUGGGAACUGCAUCUGAUACUGGCAAGCUUGAGUCUCGUAGAGGGGGGUAGAAUUCCAGGUGUAGCGGUGAAAUGCGUAGAGAUCUGGAGGAAUACCGGUGGCGAAGGCGGCCCCCUGGACGAAGACUGACGCUCAGGUGCGAAAGCGUGGGGAGCAGACAGGAUUAGAUACCCUGGUAGUCCACGCCGUAAACGAUGUCGACUUGGAGGUUGUGCCCUUGAGGCGUGGCUUCCGGAGCUAACGCGUUAAGUCGACCGCCUGGGGAGUACGGCCGCAAGGUUAAAACUCAAAUGAAUUGACGGGGGCCCGCACAAGCGGUGGAGCAUGUGGUUUAAUUCGAUGCAACGCGAAGAACCUUACCUGGUCUUGACAUCCACGGAAGUUUUCAGAGAUGAGAAUGUGCCUUCGGGAACCGUGAGACAGGUGCUGCAUGGCUGUCGUCAGCUCGUGUUGUGAAAUGUUGGGUUAAGUCCCGCAACGAGCGCAACCCUUAUCCUUUGUUGCCAGCGGUCCGGCCGGGAACUCAAAGGAGACUGCCAGUGAUAAACUGGAGGAAGGUGGGGAUGACGUCAAGUCAUCAUGCCCCUUACGACCAGGGCUACACACGUGCUACAAUGGCGCAUACAAAGAGAAGCGACCUCGCGAGAGCAAGCGGACCUCAUAAAGUGCGUCGUAGUCCGGAUUGGAGUCUGCAACUCGACUCCAUGAAGUCGGAAUCGCUAGUAAUCGUGGAUCAGAAUGCCACGGUGAAUACGUUCCCGGGCCUUGUACACACCGCCCGUCACACCAUGGGAGUGGGUUGCAAAAGAAGUAGGUAGCUUAACCUUCGGGAGGGCGCUUACCACUUUGUGAUUCAUGACUGGGGUGAAGUCGUAACAAGGUAACCGUAGGGGAACCUGCGGUUG
rnacentral:rRNA from 1 species